rnacentral:rRNA from 1 species
UACGGAGGGUGCAAGCGUUAUCCGGAUUCACUGGGUUUAAAGGGUGCGUAGGUGGGCAAGUAAGUCAGUGGUGAAAUCUCCGGGCUUAACCCGGAAACUGCCAUUGAUACUAUUUGUCUUGAAUACUGUGGAGGUCAGCGGAAUAUGUCAUGUAGCGGUGAAAUGCUUAGAUAUGACAUAGAACACCAAUUGCGACGGCAGCUGGCUACACAAAUAUUGACACUGAGGCACGAAAGCGUGGGGAUCAAACAGG